UACGAAGGGGGCUAGCGUUGUUCGGAAUUACUGGGCGUAAAGCGUAUGCAGGCGGAUCGUUAAGUCGGGGGUGAAAUCCCGAGGCUCAACCUCGGAACUGCCUCCGAUACUGGCGAUCUUCGAGUCCGGGAGAGGUGAGUGGAACUCCGAGUGUAGAGGUGAAAUUCGUAGAUAUUCGGAAGAACACCAGUGGCGAAGGCGGCUCACUGGCCCGGUACUGACGCUGAGAUACGAAAGCGUGGGGAGCAAACAGG
rnacentral:rRNA from 1 species